rnacentral:rRNA from 1 species
UAAGGAAUAUUCCACAAUGGGCGCAAGCCUGAUGGAGCGACGCCGCGUGAGCGAAGAAGCCCUUCGGGGUGUAAAGCUCUUUUCCCAGGGAUGACUAAAGGACAGUACCUGGGGAAUAAGCCUCGGCUAACUACGUGCCAGCAGCCGCGGUAAUACGUAGGAGGCGAGCGUUGUCCGGAUUUACUGGGCGUAAAGCGCGUGUAGGCGGUUUGGACAGUCUGUUGUGAAAGCGCACCGCUUAACGGAGCGAGGUCAAUGGAAACUACCAGACUUGAGGACGGUAGAGGGGGGUGGAAUUCCCGGUGUAGUGGUGAAAUGCGUAGAUAUCGGGAGGAACACCAGAGGCGAAGGCGGCCCCCUGGGCCGCUCCUGACGCUGAGACGCGAAGGCCAGGGUAGCGAACGGGAUUAGAUACCCCUGUAGUCC